CCUACGGGAGGCAGCAGUGGGGAAUAUUGGACAAUGGGGGGAACCCUGAUCCAGCGACGCCGCGUGAGUGAAGAAGUAUUUCGGUAUGUAAAGCUCUAUCAGCAGGGAAGAAAGAAAUGACGGUACCUGACUACGAAGCCCCGGCUAACUACGUGCCAGCAGCCGCGGUAAUACGUAGGGGGCAAGCGUUAUCCGGAUUUACUGGGUGUAAAGGGAGCGUAGACGGCGAUGCAAGUCUGAAGUGAAAGGCGGGGGCCCAACCCCCGGAUUGCUUUGGAAACUGUAUGGCUGGAGUGCAGGAGAGGUAAGUGGAAUUCCUAGUGUAGCGGUGAAAUGCGUAGAUAUUAGGAGGAACACCAGUGGCGAAGGCGGCUUACUGGACUGUAACUGACGUUGAGGCUCGAAAGCGUGGGGAGCAAACAGGAUUAGAUACCCUGGUAGUC
rnacentral:rRNA from 1 species